GCACCUACCUGCGUGCCACAGGUGGUCGCCGCCGAAACGGCCAGUGUUUUUGUCGCGAUCCCGCGUGGGCGCAGAGCCCGUCCGGUGACGUCGGAGCUGCCCUCGUGUCGUGUGAUCACUCUCUCCGCGCAGUGCGAGCGAAACACAGUGCGCCGUGGAGUCCGCUUUUUGUUUUCUCCUGUGGUGGUUUGUUGUUGUGCAGUGUUCCUCGCUGUUGACGCCGCUGACUCCGCCACCAGGCGGCAGCACCGUCGCCGCCUCUCGGCUCCUGCGUUCCCGUGCUCUGUCGUAACCGCAGGAGGAUAACUUCAAUGGCAACGAGAAGACUAACUGUGGCAGCAGACGGCUGGACCCGCCGGUGACCGGGGAGCCCGCGGCCUGCGUCAUGGACUCCAAGAAGG